rnacentral:tRNA from 1 species
GCAGUGGUGGUUUGGUGGUAGACUUUUUGCCUUCCAUGCGGGAGACCCAGGUUCGAUUCCUGACCAAUGCA